CUCGUGUGCCUCCCCACUUGUGUUGUGACACGUGGUUCCUAAGCACUUCCUGGCUGCCCAGCACAGCCGCUGCAGAUACACAGCCGGGACGAAAAAACACCGCAGCCCAUGCUUCACGAGGCAGCUCCGUGGCGGGGGUGCGGACUGUAGACUCGAUUGCUUGAGCUUGGCUUUCUGAGCAGCCGCUGUGGGCCCGGCUGAAGGUAAAUGGUCGCCAUGUCAGUUAAGGGCAAAGCAACCAGGAAGUGGCGACCGCCGGAUGAGAGAGUGCCCAAGUCUACGCGGGAAGAUACCCCUGGCAGCGCUCAUCUGAGGUCGACCCUGGGAUAUUCGUAGAGUUCACAACCCCCCCCCAAAUGCCAGAAGCCAGUGAGUCCUGGUGCACAGAAGUGGCGCACGGCUGCCCCGUGAUCCUUCAGCUUGAGCCCGGGAAAGCCACUGCCAGCACGCGAUUUGAAUAAGCUUCCAAACGCGGCUGCUUUAACUAAGCUCAAGCGGUUGCUGGGCUUCAGAGAAGCAACUCCUUCGUUUGACGGAAGUCUUGCCCUGCCCUGCGAGCGGUUGCCCCAUUAGGAUUGCUGUAAAUAUACAACUUGUAUCCCGACAACUCGGUAUACUCGGUUACAGAGUCCGACAACUCUGCAACUUGCGUGGGAGGUAGUCCUGUCCACAAAACAAAUCCAACAUCAUCAACAGCCGGCAGUAAAGAACGUCAGUUCUCACUCCGUACAGUUAGCUACUCAAGAACAGAAAUCGUUUCUCAUUCGUCUUUGUAUCCCCAGCUUUCAGAAAAUCGUAGGCCCUAAUAAAUGUUUGGAGAACGAGA